rnacentral:rRNA from 1 species
GACGAACGCUGGCGGCGUGCUUAACACAUGCAAGUCGAACGGAAAGGCCCUGCUUUUGUGGGGUGCUCGAGUGGCGAACGGGUGAGUAACACGUGAGUAACCUGCCCUUGACUUUGGGAUAACUUCAGGAAACUGGGGCUAAUACCGGAUAGGAGCUCCUGCUGCAUGGUGGGGGUUGGAAAGUUUCGGCGGUUGGGGAUGGACUCGCGGCUUAUCAGCUUGUUGGUGGGGUAGUGGCUUACCAAGGCUUUGACGGGUAGGCGGCCUGAGAGGGUGGACAGCCACAAUGGGACUGAGAUACGGACCAGACUCCUACGGGAGGCAGCAGGGGGGAAUAUUGCACAAUGGGCGGAAGUCUGAUGCAGAAACGCCGCGUGCGGGAUGACGGCCUGCGGGUUGUAAACCGCUUUCGCCUGUGACGAAGCGUGAGUGACGGUAAUGAGUAAAGAAGCACCGGCUAACUACGUG